UAUCUGUUAAAUGUCAAAAAUGUUAUGUUGCUUUCAGUAAAAAUAAUAGAAGUUUAAUAGCAUUGAUUCAUUAUAUGUAUAUUUUCCAAAUAUUAUGUUAUUCGGUUUGAAUUAGAAUUUUAAAAGUAUAAGUAAAUUAUAAUGCACCAUCGACUUAUUAAAAAACUAUUGAUAGACGCAAAACGAUUCCUUAGUAAACGACGAGUCUUAAAAUGUUAUUAAGAGUUAAAAUUUUAAUAUUUUUAUUGAGCUCUGUGUAUGUUUAUCGUAUUGAUGCUCUUGUAACUAAGGUUGAUAAAAGUUUGGCUGAAAUUAGUCAUUUACAAUAUGAAGGUGUCAUAUUUUUAUCUACGCUUGAUGGUUCAUUCAUUGCAGUUGAUCAAAAUUCUGGGAAAACAUUAUGGAAUUUCGCAGAUGAUCCGCCAGUAAAAGUUCCAUCUAAUAUUAAAGAUGCAUUAUCACCACUAUUUUUACCAGAUCCUCGAGAUGGUUCUUUGUACUUGCUACACAAUAAAGAUAAAGUUGGUAUUAAAAAACUAGAUAUCACUAUUCCUCAAUUAGUAGCAAAUUCUCCUUGUAGAAGUUCAGAUGGAAUAUUAUUUUCUGGUAAAAAAAUAGAUAGUUGGUAUUUUAUUGAUUGGAGUACUGGUGAGAAACAUCCAUUUUUAAAUUUUGAUAAACAUGGUGAUAUUUGUACAGCGAUAGCUUCAAAAUCUAUUCUUUUAAGUAAAUCAGAAUAUAGUGUUAUUAUGGUUGAUAGCACUAGUAGAGAUAAAAGACAAUGGAAUGUUACAUUUUUCAGCUACAAUUCCAAAACUAUGACUGAUGAACAGAUCUUUAACCAUGGUAUGAAAUAUUUUUCUGCCAGUUCUUCUGGUCAUUUUGCAGUAUUUCAUAAUCAUAAAGACAAGUUAGAAAAAAAAUCUCGUGAUAAUUAUCAAAAUUUAAUUUGGGAGAAAGAAUUUGAAUCACCUGUAAUUGGAGUUUAUUUACAUGAUGGUGAAAGUUUAUUAUCGUUACCUCUUACAAACAUUGCAAAAGAUUCAAUGAAACAUUUAAUAACUAAUAUUGUAUUAACUUUGAAAGAUCCAAAUACUAUUAGUUAUUUUGAUACACUUUACAUUGGCCAUCAUGUUGAUACUGGAUUAUAUGCCUUACCAGCAAUUGCAGAUUCUAGUGAAGUAAAUCCGCUAGUGGAUAGAGGUUUAAUUGUUCUAUUAGAUAAAACAUCAUUUUCUGUAUUACCUUAUUACAGUGGAAAUAAUUAUAAUGUCGAACCAAGUAAUGUUGAAAAUCAUACAAUAUUAUUGGGGCAUUACCAGCUGAAUCAAGACUUUAAUACAGGAAUACCAAGAAUAACUGGUAAUACUGAUUCAAUAAUAUACUAUCAUAACAUGAGUGGAUUUAACUAUAGCAAUAAACAAACUAGUACUAUAUCUACACAAACUCCUCAAAGUUUAGAAUAUGCAUUUAUUAGCCAAAUAUUUGGCGAUAAUGCUGGAAUUAAAGUUUUUAUGGUUUGGAUAACGUUAUUAAUGAGUUUGAUGUUUUGGUAUCUAAAAAAAGAAAUGAAAGGUCUUAAAAAGAAUUCCAAUAGCGGUUAUAAUAGUUCCCAAGAAAGUUCUAAAGGAUCAAAUCAAUCGUAUAGUAGCUCUUCUAAAAUUGUCGAAGAACUGCCAGAUGGAAGUUUUUCUAUUGGAAAAAUUAUAUUUCGAACUGACCAUAUAUUAGGAAAAGGAUGUGAAGGAACAUUUGUUUUUAAGGGUGAGUUUGAAUGUAGACCAGUUGCCGUAAAACGAUUGUUACCAGAGUGUUUUGUUGCUGGAGAAAGAGAAGUUCAUAUUCUUCGUGAAUCUGAUUAUCAUCCCAAUGUUGUUAGAUAUUUCUGUACUGAACAAGAUAAGCAAUUCCGAUACAUAGCACUUGAGUUAUGUGCUGCAACUUUACAAGACUACGUUGAAAAAAACAUUCUAAGAAAUGAAAUCAGUCCUAAAGACGUAAUGUUACAAUCAAUCAAAGGUUUACAGCAUCUUCACUCACUGGGUAUAGUUCAUAGAGACAUUAAGCCCCAUAAUGUUCUUCUAUCUACCCCAUCUCGUGGAAGUGGUAGUUUUAGUAGCGUAAGAGCACUGAUUAGCGACUUUGGAUUAUGUAAAAAACUUCAAGGAGGAAAGAUGUCAUUUUCAAAACGCUCUGGUGUUACUGGUACUGAUGGUUGGAUUGCACCUGAAAUGUUUACUGACAAUGCAUCUGUUACUAAGUCUAUAGACAUAUUUUCCAUGGGUUGCUUGUUUUAUUACAUUCUAAGUGAAGGUAAACAUCCAUUUGGGGAAGCAUUAUGGCGUCAAGCAAGAAUAUUAGAUAAACGUCAAGCUCCUUGCCUUAAUGCCUUAAAUGAAAAUGAAAUUUGGAAACGUUUAAUUAUUUUAAUGAUAAGUCGAUAUCCAGAAGAGAGGCCAACUGCGUCUGCUAUUCGUUCAUAUCCAGCAUUUUGGAGUAGUUGUACAUUACUUUCUUUUCUUCAAGAUGUUAGUGAUAGAGUGGAAAAAGAACAUGUUACCAGUCCGAUUAUGUUAGAGCUAGAAAAAGGUGGUGAUGGAGUUAUAGGAAGAGAUGGAUGGCAUGAUAAAAUAGAUGAAGAAAUAACCUCAGAACUUAGAAAAUAUAGAACAUAUAGAGGAACCAGUAUAAGAGAUUUAUUAAGAGCUUUUCGAAAUAAAAAACAUCAUUUCCGCGAGUUGUCUCAGGAAACACAAAGAUUAUUAGGAGAUGUUCCUGAUAGUUUUUUGGAAUAUUGGACUGUUAAAUUUCCAUUGCUGGUAUAUCAUACUUGGACAGCUAUGCAAUGUUUGUCUAAUGAGAUUACAUUUACUAAGUACUAUACCUCAUGUUUUGUUUUUCCACGGACUGAAUAUUCCAAUAUUCCAAAUUGGGUUUAUGAAGCAGAUCAACCUAUUGCAUUUAGUAGCUUACAAAAAACAUCUAGACGGUCAAAUAUCCAUACAACUAGUUGGCGACAUAAAAAACGUGAUAAAUUACUCAAAACAUUUGAACAAUGACACCAUUUUUAAAUUUAAUAUAUGAUACAACUCUUGAUUGUUCAUAAGUAAAUCACUUUGUAACAUACAAUUUUAAACACAUUAUAUUUUGAACUAUUGAUUGAAAAAAAUAAAAAUUCAAAUUUUAACUUACAAAAACUUGUAAAAGAUGUUCAGAACUCAAUCUAGAGCCGUGUUCUGUUGCUACUGGAGUAAGAGAAAAACAACCAUUGACAUUCUCAGAUAAAUAAAAAUUAUCAGAGUUCAUGUCUAAAGAAGUAGUGUAACCUAACUCUUUAGCUGCUUCAAGAAUACUGGUUGCAACUGAAGUUGUGUGAGAUGGUUUCUGACUAAAGAAUUUUUGUCUUUUUUUUGGUGAUCC